rnacentral:rRNA from 1 species
GAUGAACGCUGGCGGCGUGCUUAACACAUGCAAGUCGAACGGGAAACCUUUUAUUGAAGCUUCGGCAGAUUUAGAUUGUUUCUAGUGGCGGACGGGUGAGUAACGCGUGGGUAACCUGCCUUAUACAGGGGGAUAACAGUCAGAAGUGACUGCUAAUACCGCAUAAGCGCACAGAGCUGCAUGGCUCGGUGUGAAAAACUCCGGUGGUAUAAGAUGGACCCGCGUUGGAUUAGCUAGUUGGUGAGGUAACGGCCCACCAAGGCGACGAUCCAUAGCCGGCCUGAGAGGGUGAACGGCCACAUUGGGACUGAGACACGGCCCAGACUCCUACGGGAGGCAGCAGUGGGGAAUAUUGCACAAUGGGGGAAACCCUGAUGCAGCGACGCCGCGUGAAGGAAGAAGUAUCUCGGUAUGUAAACUUCUAUCAGCAGGGAAGAAAAUGACGGUACCUGACUAAGAAGCCCCGGCUAACUACGUGCCAGCAGCCGCGGUAAUACGUAGGGGGCAAGCGUUAUCCGGAUUUACUGGGUGUAAAGGGAGCGUAGACGGAUGGACAAGUCUGAUGUGAAAGGCUGGGGCUCAACCCCGGGACUGCAUUGGAAACUGCCCGUCUUGAGUGCCGGAGAGGUAAGCGGAAUUCCUAGUGUAGCGGUGAAAUGCGUAGAUAUUAGGAGGAACACCAGUGGCGAAGGCGGCUUACUGGACGGUAACUGACGUUGAGGCUCGAAAGCGUGGGUAGCAAACAAGAUUAGAUACCCUGGUAGUCCACGCGGUAAACGAAGAAUGAUAGGUGUCGGGGAGCAAAGCUUUUCGGUGCCGCCGCAAACGCACUAAGCAUUCCACCUGGGGAGUGCGUUCGCAAGAAUGAAACUCAAAGGAAUUGACGGGGACCCGCACAAGCGGUGGAGCAUGUGGUUUAAUUUGAAGCAACGCGAAGAACCUUACCAAGUCUUGACAUCCCUCUGACCGGAACUUAAUCGUUCCUUUCCUUCGGGACAGAGGAGACAGGUGGUGCAUGGUUGUCGUCAGCUCGUGUCGUGAGAUGUUGGGUUAAGUCCCGCAACGAGCGCAACCCCUAUCCCCAGUAGCCAGCGGUUCGGCCGGGCACUCUGAGGAGACUGCCAGGGAUAACCUGGAGGAAGGCGGGGAGGACGUCAAAUCAUCAUGCCCCCUAUGAUUUGGGCUACACACGUGCUACAAUGGCGUAAACAAAGGGAAGCGAACCUGCGAGGGUGGGCAAAUCCCAAAAAUAACGUCCCAGUUCGGACUGUAGUCUGCAACCCGACUACACGAAGCUGGAAUCGCUAGUAAUCGCGGAUCAGAAUGCCGCGGUGAAUAAGAGGCCGGGUCUUGCACU